AGUGCGUUCAGUAAGUAUAACGUUUCAAGAUGGCGGAGCGAAUUGCAUGGUUAUUGUUUCUACUCGAUGGAUUCGCAGAUAAUUCGGAAAUAGAUCAGAUUGGGAUCAAUAACUGUAUUGCAUACGAUCAUUUACAUGUAUUACCAGGUGUGUGUUGCCAGUAAUGGUUGAAGAUAUGCCAAACAAAUUGUGCCUCUCUAUACAGACAGAUUUCAGGUCUCAAUUUCGACUUCAAAGGUCAACAUAUCACUGAUAUCAGGAAUUCUGUACAACUGUGGAACCAUGUAUGGUACGUGACCGCACAAUGUUGGUUGGCAAAAGGAUAUUGGAAUAAGCAAAGGGACUCAACAUUACACAGUCAUUUCAACAUGUAGAGUCUUGUCAGCAAUGAUGGAGCAGUACAUCAGAUUUCCAGAAUCUCGUCAUGAGCUGAAGAUCAUUGCCUAUGGAUUUCAUGAAUGAUGUAGAAUGAUUGGACUGUUGAUGGAACCCACAGUGCAUGUCCUGCUUCAACAUCUGAGCAUAGGUCCUUGUUUAUCAGCAGUUUAGUUCUUCAAGCAGUCUGUGACAGUAACUUGAAAUGUUUGGACAUAUGACCUGGAUGGCCAAGUUCUGUGCAUGAUGCCCAUUUAAAUAGGAACGGCCCAGUGGCGCAUUAAAUGGACAUUUUUCGAAUGUUCUCGAGGAUUCAGCUUACCGCCUGACAAGAAAUCUUGCUUUUUGUUCCGUAUCGAGGCCAUAGACAUUUGUAUCAUUUGCAAAAGAUACUGCGAUAUUUGUGCCUUUGUUCAUGCUUUAUAGUUGAUUAACAAUUGGAAGCCAUAACCUGUUUUAUAGGAUGGUGUUAGUGGGACAAUGAAUUUUGUAAAGAUUUAAAGACUGGAAAAGAUAAUUAAAAGUCAAAAGAGUUCUGCUAUUGUUAAGCAUGCUUUAUUGAUUUGUAAUGUUAGAAAGAUAGCAUUAUUAACAGAAUAAAAUGUCCAUAAUUUGAA